rnacentral:rRNA from 1 species
GAUGAACGCUGGCGGCGUGCCUAAUACAUGCAAGUCGAGCGAACAGACGAGGAGCUUGCUCCUCUGACGUUAGCGGCGGACGGGUGAGUAACACGUGGAUAACCUACCUAUAAGACUGGGAUAACUUCGGGAAACCGGAGCUAAUACCGGAUAAUAUAUUGAACCGCAUGGUUCAAUAGUGAAAGACGGUUUUGCUGUCACUUAUAGAUGGAUCCGCGCCGCAUUAGCUAGUUGGUAAGGUAACGGCUUACCAAGGCGACGAUGCGUAGACGACCUGAGAGGGUGAUCGGCCACACUGGAGCUGAGACACGGUCCAGACUCCUACGGGAGGCAGCAGUAGGGAAUCUUCCGCAAUGGGCGAAAGCCUUACGGAGCAACGCCGCGUGAGUGAUGAAGGUCUUCGGAUCGUAAAACUCUGUUAUUAGUGAAGAACAAAUGUGUAAGUAACUAUGCACGUCUUGACGGUACCUAAUCAGAAAGCCACGGCUAACUACGUG